AUGAGAACAACAAAAUUUGCCACAACAAAAUUGGCAUAUGAAUAUAUUGUACUGGAGCAGACAGGGCAAAUGAUGGAAGUUAAAACUAACAACAGAGGACUGCGGAACAGAAUCUUGGCUAGACCAAUGCCAGGCAGAGCACCAGUAGUAACACCCAUGCCAAACACCAGUAGUAACUGUUACAGUGAAGGAGUGACUAGCACUUUAUGGGGCAAGCGAGGCAGUUGCUUUGAGAGUGUUAGUUUGCUCCCUGAAGGAAGUGAGGGCAGUAGGUGUCUGUGGCCACUUUUGCCUUCCCUGGUUAAAUUAAAAAUACUGUUUGGAAAUAAAUUACUAGAUGCUGUUUGUUUGGUACCUAAAAAGAGCUUAACAUAUGGAAUAAUUCUUACACAUCAAGCAUCAGGAGAUACAAAUCUUCCCCAUUUGAUGUCACUGCCAUCCCAUCUUGCGUCUCAUGGUCUUUUUUGUUUAUUUGAGAUUUGCCUGUAAAGGCCUUAAUAUUGUACAUAGAAUUAAGGCAUAUAAAUCAUGUGAAUUACCUAAAGACCUUCGGAGAACAUAAACUUGCAGGUGUUUUCCUUGGAGAACUUGUUAGACAAAGUGACACAGAAAAUGCAAGUUCCCAGUAA